UGGCCCAUUGGGCCAAUUGGUCCAUCAUCACCUCCACUGCAUUCUUUUGGCCAAAACAAGUCACAAAGUCAACCCAGACUUAAGAGGUCACAUCAAGAGGCCAUGCCCCGAGGUUGGGAAAUAAGCCUAACAAGCAGGUUCCACCAGAG